AACAUUGUCUCGAUUUUCGGUUACUGUUCCUUGGGAUGGUAUUAAAAGGGAAUCAGGUGUAAACCCUGAACAGUUCCCGCUGCUGUAAAUUCUUUCCGGAUAAAAUGCCGGAAAAUCUUUCUAAAUUAUUAGUUGUAUUCCACUGUCAUAAGUGAUGGGAAGGAUUAGAAAGAGGAAUGAGUCAGAAGACCUGCCGAAAGUUUUAAAAACAAA
rnacentral:ncRNA from 19 species